rnacentral:misc_RNA from 1 species
AUUAAUAAAACAAUGAACUUAUAAUAAACUGACCUAGCAUAGUGACUUCGGUCGCUAUCCAUUGAAUUUAUAUCCAAAAAACCUCAUAAAUAAAUUAUCUGGUUGAUAUAAAC